AGAGAACUACAGUCAGGCAGGCAGAGUAUUUUCUGAUUUGGAUGAGUUCAUAAGACAUGUACAUUAUGGGAAUUAUAUGAUUGCUCCACCUGCAUCACAUCUGGACCACCUCUGGACUGAGCUGUAGGGAUGCAGGGAAACCCUGCUAAGUGUCAAGCUGCACCCUGUCCUGCUGGUGCCCAUGCCUAGACCCUCAUUCCAUUGUUCACAGAAUUCUAUGCCUUGGGAUUUUGUCUCUACUUGUCCAGAACUCCUAAUUCCUUCACUCUUCCACAUUCUAGGUCCUCCUCUAUCAAUUUAAGUACCAGAUCCCUGUCAGCUGCCUUCCCCAGACAUUAAGUCAGAAGCUCAGUUUGAUGGCAGGGUGUGUGUUUCCAGGGAACAUGCUCUUUUGCCUGCAGCCACAUAAGACAUACCUUUGCUCCAUCUUUACCUUCUGCCACGAUUAUGAGGCCUCCCCAGCCACAUGAAACGGGGGAAGUAUGUAAUGAUGUUUGUGACAAAAAAUAAAUGUGAUCAACUGGUAAAAACAGCCUGAUGUUGUGUCUUCAGUGAAUGUUCCCACUAGCCAGGCUGAGCUUAAGGUGUAUGGUCAACUAAACAAUCCAAAAACCAUGUAGCUCCACAAUAAUCAGAAAUUCUGGAUCCAGUAAAACAAGUCUCCUUUAAGACAUGGCUGAAUGCUGGAAGAAAGUAAAGAAAGUUCCUGGAGUCAAAGAUGAAGUGAGAAGGAAAAAUCAGAGCAGUGAAUGCAGUCUCACCCUGUUGCCCAGGCUGGAAUGCAGUGG
rnacentral:lncRNA from 1 species